UAACUCUGGUUUCCCUUCAAAACGCAUAAAUCUUUCGCCUUUUACUAAAGAUUUCCGUGGAGGGGAACACUCAAAUGAGUCUAUAAUAUUUUUUGAAUGCCCUGUAUUAAUACAGGGCU